AUACGGGGGAUCCUAGUGUUAUCCGGAUUUAUUGGGUUUAAAGGGAGCGUAGGCGGGAGGUCAAGUCAGCUGUGAAAUGUAUCUGCUUAACGGGUACACUGCAGUUGAAACUGGUUUUCUUGAGUGCGUAAGAGGCAGGCGGAAUUUGUUGUGUAGCGGUGAAAUGCUUAGAUAUGACGAGGAACUCCUAUUGCGAAGGCAGCUUGCUGGGUCGUUACUGACGCUGAUGCUCGAAGGUGCGGGGAUCAAACAGGAUUAGAUACCCUGGUAGUCCGCACAGUAAACUAUGGAUACUCUCUGCCGGCGAUAUAUUGUCGGUGGCCAAGCGAAAGCGUUAAGUAUCCCACCUGGGGAGUACGUUCGCAAGAAUGAAACUCAAAGGAAUUGACGGGG
rnacentral:rRNA from 1 species